GAUGAAGAACGUAGCGAAAUGCGAUAAGUAAUGUGAAUUGCAGAAUUCAGUGAAUCAUCGAAUCUUUGAACGCACAUUGCGCCCGCCAGUAUUCUGGCGGGUAUGCCUGUCCGAGCGUCAUUUCAACCCUCGAACCCCUCCGGGGGGUCGGCGUUGGGGAUCGGCCCUUUACGGGGCCGGCCCCGAAAUACAGUGGCGGUCUCGCCGCAGCCUCUCCUGCGCAGUAGUUUGCACACUCGCAUCGGGAGCGCGGCGCGUCCACAGCCGUUAAACACCCCAAACUUCUGAAAUGUUGACCUCGGAUCAGGUAGGAAUACCCGCUGAACUUAAGCAUAUCAAUAAGCGGAGGA
rnacentral:misc_RNA from 1 species